AAGAAUAUUAAAAGCAGUAAGGGACUGCAUGCCAGAGUAACGGAGAGACUUUGACAGCCCAGGUUAUCACAGUGCCUGCUGUUGCCACUCAGCUCUCCUAUAUGU
ensembl:snoRNA